rnacentral:tRNA from 1 species
GGGGCUGUGGCGGAACGGGUCACGCACCCGCCUUUUAAGCGGAGAGAUGAGGGUUCGAGUCCCUCCGGCCCCA